UAUACCAAUUAAAUGUUCCAGUCUUUGUAGUAGGGUGUGAUGGUCAGUGGUGUCAAACGCUGUGUGAAAAAACAUCAUAGUCAUAAUAAUUAUAAUGCCAAUAUUAUUUCAGUAUAGAAAUAUUAGGCAUGAUUUAGGCAUGUAUAUCACAAAACAGGCAGAACAAGAGAUGUAUUUAAUUGCUCAGGGAAGCACAAACACACACAGCAACUUCCCCUAUCUCAGUGGUAUGUUGGAUUGCACCUGACGAAGUUUGACAGCAGGCUGUCAACUUCUUUGGAAAUGGCCUCGAAAAGACAGCAGGAGUCAGGAGCAGAGAAAAGAAAAGAAGAAGCUGCGAGAUGAUGCCCAUGCAAUACUUGCAGAUGCCUGUCUUGGACCCUCGUCUCCUCCUCAGACCUGCCUCUUGCCUCAGUCAAUGCCGAAGCUGAGAGCCUAAAGGUGGUUGGUGCCCAUCGGUGGUGGUGUCCCCUUAUUGUGUGCUGUGUGUCGACCCCCCGUGUAACCCUCCCCUUGUGUGUUUGUGUGGUGGUGUGUGCGUGGAGGUGUGUGCACGUGUGACUGAGGCGACUCUCCCUUGGAUACCUCACUCCUGGUGACCCAUCUUCCUGCUGGUAAGCCUUAGCUUCAGCCAU